rnacentral:rRNA from 1 species
UAUUCUGGUGUCUUAGGCGUAGAGGAACCACACCAAAUCCAUCCCGAAUUUGGUGGUUAAACUCUACUGCGGUGACGAUACUGUGGGGGAGGCCCCGCGGAAAAAUAGC